CAAUGCCAGCCCUGCACUAGCCGGCAGGGGAGAAUGUCGGGGGGGGGGCAAUUGCCCCGUUGCCCCCUCCUGGAUCUGCCAAUGCCUUGGCGGUGACUUUGCAUGCAGAUGUCAUCCAUAUCAACUUUCGAUACCAGUUUCUGCGCCUACCAUGGUGAACACGGGUAAUGGGGAAUCAGGGUUCCAUUCCAUACAGGAACCCUGAGAAAGGGCUACCACAUGCAAUGAAGGCAGCAGGCGCGCAAAUGACCCACUCCCGACGCGGGAAGGUAGUGA